rnacentral:rRNA from 1 species
AGAGUUUGAUCCUGGCUCAGGAUGAACGCUGGCGGCGUGCUUAACACAUGCAAGUCGAACGCACCUUCGGGUGAGUGGCGGACGGGUGAGUAACGCGUGGGAAUCUGCCCUUAGGAGGGGGAUAAUGGCUGGAAACGGCCGCUAAUACCCCAUAUGCCGAGAGGUGAAACGAAUUUCGCCUGAGGAUGAGCCCGCGUCUGAUUAGCUAGUUGGUGGGGUAAAGCCCACCAAGGCGACGAUCAGUAGCUGGUCUGAGAGGAUGAUCAGCCACACUGGGACUGAGACACGGCCCAGACUCCUACGGGAGGCAGCAGUGGGGAAUUUUCCGCAAUGGGCGAAAGCCUGACGGAGCAACGCCGCGUGAGGGAUGAAGGCCUCUGGGCUGUAAACCUCUUUUCUCAAGGAAGAAGACAUGACGGUACUUGAGGAAUAAGCCACGGCUAAUUCCGUGCCAGCAGCCGCGGUAAUACGGGAGUGGCAAGCGUUAUCCGGAAUUAUUGGGCGUAAAGCGUCCGCAGGCGGCUCUGUAAGUCUGUUGUUAAAGCGUGGAGCUCAACUCCAUUUCAGCAAUGGAAACUACAGGGCUUGAGUGUGGUAGGGGCAGAGGGAAUUCCCGGUGUAGCGGUGAAAUGCGUAGAUAUCGGGAAGAACACCAGUGGCGAAGGCGCUCUGCUGGGCCAUAACUGACGCUCAUGGACGAAAGCCAGGGGAGCGAAAGGGAUUAGAUACCCCUGUAGUCCUGGCCGUAAACGAUGAACACUAGGUGUCGGGGGAAUCGACCCCCUCGGUGUCGUAGCCAACGCGUUAAGUGUUCCGCCUGGGGAGUACGCACGCAAGUGUGAAACUCAAAGGAAUUGACGGGGGCCCGCACAAGCGGUGGAGUAUGUGGUUUAAUUCGAUGCUACGCGAAGAACCUUACCAGGGUUUGACAUCCUGCGAAUCCCUUGGAAACUUGGGAGUGCCUUCGGGAGCGCAGAGACAGGUGGUGCAUGGCUGUCGUCAGCUCGUGUCGUGAGAUGUUGGGUUAAGUCCCGCAACGAGCGCAACCCACGUCUUUAGUUGCCAGCAUUCAGUUGGGCACUCUAGAGAGACCGCCGGUGAUAAACCGGAGGAAGGUGUGGAUGACGUCAAGUCAUCAUGCCCCUUACAUCCUGGGCUACACACGUACUACAAUGCUACGGACAGAGGGCAGCAAGCUCGCGAGAGUUAGCAAAUCCCAUAAACCGUGGCUCAGUUCAGAUCGUAGGCUGCAACUCGCCUACGUGAAGGAGGAAUCGCUAGUAAUCGCAGGUCAGCAUACUGCGGUGAAUACGUUCCCGGGCCUUGUACACACCGCCCGUCACACCAUGGAAGUUGGCCAUGCCCGAAGUCGUUACC